GACGAACGCUGGCGGCAUGCUUAACACAUGCAAGUCGAACGGGAAGGCCCUGCUUUUGUGGGGUGCUCGAGUGGCACACGGGAGAAUAACACGUGAGUAACCUGCCCUUGACUUUGGGAUAACUCCAAUAAACUGGGGCUAAUACCGCAUAAGAGCUCCUGCUGCAUGGUGGGGGCUGGCAAGUUUCGGCCGGUUGGGAUGGACUCGCGGCUUAUCAGCGUGUUGGUGGUGUCGUGGCUUACCAAGGAUUUGACGGGUAGGCGGCCUGAGGGGGUGACCGGCCACCAUGGGGCUGAGAUAAGGCCCAGAAUCCUACGGGAGGCAGCAGUGGGGAAGAUUGCACAAUGGGCGGAAGCCUGAUGCAGCAACGCCGCGUGGGGGAUGAAGGCCUUCGGGUUGUAAACCGCUUUCGCCUGUGACGAAGCGGGAGUGACGGUAAUGGGUAAAGAAGCACCGGCUAACUACGUG
rnacentral:rRNA from 1 species